UACGAAGGGGGCGAGCGUUGUUCGGAAUUACUGGGCGUAAAGGGCUCGUAGGUGGCCAACUAAGUCAGACGUGAAAUCCCCAGGCUCAACCUGGGAACUGCGUCUGAUACUGGAUGGCUUGAAUUCGGGAGAGGGAUGCAGAAUUCCAGGUGUAGCGGUGAAAUGCGUAGAUAUCUGGAGGAAUACCGGUGGCGAAGGCGGCAUCCUGGACCGAGAUUGACACUGAGGAGCGAAAGCCAGGGGAGCAAACGGG
rnacentral:rRNA from 1 species